CGUGAUUCCACGAAGGCCCCUCUCUCUGGAGGGAGGCGGGCCGUGGUGCGCCUGUAACGGGAAACGGAGGGUGAGAGAGAGAAAACUGCAAUGUAUCCUGAAAAUCCGCACCAGAUUCCAGGAAGGAUCAGGUUUCUGAUUGAGUGCAUUGAUUGCUUCAGGAAUAGCAAACUUUUGCCAGAAGCCCUGUGUUAUGUCCCCAAAGAGGUCUUGUACAAGUUUUGGAAAGAUUCCACCUUGUCCAGUGCAACGUUGGGGCGGUCUCAGUAUAUUGUUUCAGUCUGGCAGUUAGCCUCCCAGCCUCAACGCAAGAAACUCUUUGAUAUUGAGUUAAAGAGAGGGACCUGCAUCAAAGCAACCGGAGAAGAAUACUGCAACAACCAUGGUCUCUGGGUGAAGCUGAAUCAGGAGCAAAUACAGGAGUACAACAGCAGCUGUCAGGACACAGAAGGCUGGAUUCUUCUAUGUAAGCAGCCUGAAGGUGGUGAACGACUUGUGCCUGUGGAAACACCCGAAAGGCUUCAAAAACAACAACAGCUUUUUGGCUAUGACUACAGACCGUGUACCCGAUGGGAGCAGGUGGUUGAUGCACAAUAUUCAUUAUAUCUGGGUGCAAAACCCAAGGUGGCCGAUAGGGAUGAUGCUGCAAUGCAAAAGCUAAGGUAUGUUCCUCCAACUUGGACAUUUGAGUGUGAUGAAGACUUGGUGCACUACUUCUAUGACCGCAUAGGGAAGGAAGAUGAGAACUUAGGCAGUGUCAAACAUCUAGUUGACAGCAUAGAUGCUUCUUCUUUCUCGGAUGAAGCCAAUGUGUGGUGUUUGACUGAUGGAGACAAUGACACUUUCUGGGAGAGUGAGGGGAAUCAGGGCCACCACUGGAUUCGAUUGUACAUGAAGAAAGGCACCAUAAUAAAAAAACUGUUUAUCUCAAUAGAUGCAACAGAUGAUAACUACAUGCCAAAAAUAAUUCACGUGUUUGGUGGUGAUCGCGAUAAUUUAAAAAAGUUGAAUGAUCUCACAGUUGAUGAAACUUUAGUUGGUGACCUCUGUGUUCUGGAGGAUAUGAUGGUUCACCUUCCUAUAAUUGAAAUUCGGAUUAUAGAAUGUGUAGAUGGGGGAAUAGAUGUCCGACUACAUGGCCUCAAGAUUAGAUCUUCAAGAGAGAAAGACCUAGGAUUAAACAUUGAUAUGUUUCAAGCUGCAAACCUCGUUCGUUAUCCACGUCUCGAGGGACAUAACCCUGACAUGCUGUACAGAAGAGCUGUAGUAAUCCACAGAUUCCUUAAACUCCUGGACAAUCUUAUUCACUAUCUAGUACCAGCCUGGGACCACACAGUUGGAUCAUUUGGUCAGUUAAAGCACAUCAAACAGUUCCUUCUACUUUCAAAGCGGCGCACAGCUCUGAUUACACAAUGCCUCAAGGAUUCCGAAACUAACAAACCCAAUUUCAUGCCAAAACUUUACAUCAAUCGGCGAGUUGCCAUGGAGCAUCGGAAUAAUCCUUCUCUUGAUCCCUCUUGUAAGAAUGCUGUGUUCACACAGAUGUUUGAAGGUCUGAAGCCCUCGGACAAAUGCGAGAAACCCUUGGAUUACAGGUGGCCAGCACGCUAUGACCAGUGGUGGGAAUGUAAAUUUAUCUCUGAAGGAAUCAUUGACCAAGGUGGUGGAUUCCGAGACAGCCUGUCUGACAUCUCUGAAGAGCUUUGCCCGAGUUCUGGAGACAGUCCAGUGCCUUUACCCUUUUUUGUAAGGACAUCUAAUCAGGGUAACAGUACUGGAGAAGCACGAGACGUGUAUGUUCCUAAUCCAUCCUGCAAAGAAUUUGGGAAGUAUGAAUGGAUAGGCCAAUUGAUGGGAGCUGCAUUGCGAGGACGGGAGCUUUUGGUGCUGGCUCUUCCUGGAAUUGUGUGGAAACAACUAGCAGGGGAGGAAGUGAGAUGGUCCAAAGAUUUUCCUGCAGUGGAUUCUGUCUUGGUGAAACUGCUGGAAGCGAUGGAAACCAUGGACAAGGAAACAUUUGAAUUUAAAUUUGGGAAUGAGCUAACCUAUACCACUGUGCUCAGUGAUCACUCUGUCAUGGACCUGAAACCUGAUGGCAGCAACACCGUUGUCCAGUUUGAGGAUCGGAUGGAGUUCAUUAAACUGGUACAAAAAGCAAAACUGGAAGAAAACAAAGAUCAGAUUCAGGCAAUGAGGGCUGGCCUACUGAAGGUUGUUCCCCAAGCAGUGCUUGACCUGCUGACCUGGCAGGAGCUGGAAAAGAAAGUCUGUGGUGAUCCUGAAAUCACAGUGGAAGCUCUCAAACGUUUAACUCGCUUUGAGGAUUUGGAGCAGUCUGAUACCAGAGUCAAAUAUCUUUGGGAAGCACUUACAAAUUUCACUAAUGAGGAUCGUAGUCGGUUCUUGAGGUUUGUUACAGGUAGAAGCCGUCUGCCUGCACCUAUAUUCGUUUACCCAGACAAGUCAGGAUCAGAGAAAACAGAUGCUCUCCCAGAGUCUUCCACGUGCUCCAGUACACUUUUUCUACCAAACUACUCCAGACAAAGGCAGUACUCUCAAGCAUUGUUCACAACUCAUAAUAUCACAGACCCUGCAGUGUCAGCCAGCGUUUGGUGUAUCACAGACAAAUCCAAACUCUUUCUCCCUUGAGGUCCACAUAUUCCUAUUCAUACAAUCUCCAGAGUCACCAGAAGGGUUCAGGAGCCUGGGCUGCUCUCGUUUUGUCUUUGACCGUGCAAAGCUUUGUGAAGAGAAGUUACGAUAUGCAGCAUACAACUGUGUGGCGAUAGACACUGAUAUGGUACCCUGGGAGGAAUGACAAUCAGAUUAUAUAGAAUUGAACAGGAUAUGGUUGGUUGCUGAAAUUGGUUAUGCCGACUUACAACUGCUUUAAUUUUUUUGUGCUGUCUAUAUAAAUGCUAAUUCCUUGAGAUUCAGAGAUUUAUUUUUAUAUUUGUUUUUUUCCCCCUGUUGGAAUACCAAGUCUUGGCAAUUCACUCAAACCAAUUAGAACUGUAAGUUCCACACAUCCUGAAUAAGUGGCAAGUCACUAUGUGACCUACCUUUGCAAUGGUUUUUAUUUAGCGCAAUGUGGUUACAUGAUUUGAGAAUACCACUUUGGUUUGAUUAGGGAAAAUAUAUUCUCUGAAAUAUAAAGGCUAGCCAAUCCUUUACACAAAAGUAAAAUUGAACACAAUGGUUUGAAUUUUGCUGGGCAUUUAGCAGUGGGAUUGGUGCCAUGCAGGCUGGUUAAAAUUGUGGGAAUUGAUGACAAGCCGGUAAUCUGACAUCUUCCCACCUCCAUUCCACCAGGUUUCCCAGGGACCAGUUGACUGUGCAUUUGGGAAUCCCCAUGGGUGAAAUGUUCACCCUAUUAAGGCAAUAAGAAUACCAAUAAAGAGCCAUUUUAGGGUUGCAGUAGCUCUUUCCCAAUGGGCACAUAGGUUGCACGCCUGUAGGCAACCCGGCAAGUGUUUAGAAAGUUAGCUGCCAACAUGUGGUUGAGCGCUUGUAUCCACUCCUUAGCCUUACCAUCUGAGUCUCCAUAAGGCUGGCAACUAUUUGUAGAGGUAGUCAUGGACUCAUAUGCUAGAGAUAUAACAGCACUGAUGGCUGAAAUGGAAUCCUCCACCUUCAGCACUAGGGACUGCACUGCUUCUGGGAAUUGUGACAGAUAACCAUGCUUGCCCUCUAGCUGCUCAACAAGUACCAGCAUUGUGUACGAUCCCGAUUUCCCCCCCAGCUCAAUAUCUGUGCCUAGCUGAGCAGAGCUGGAUGUUCCUUCAGACUUCUGACGGGGACUUUCUAUGGCUGUCUCUGCCUCCAGUAUCUGCUCCUGUUCAGAUGUGAAGUGCCCCUCACUAAUGCUACCCUUCCUACCUGUGAUGCUGGACCCACCAAGAUGAGUGUAUCUGUGUAGGUGAAGGGUGGGCAGGAGUCCCGUGACUUCCUUAGAAAAGUGCUGUUCCUCCAAGGACUGCAUAGCCUCUUCUCUUACCUCUCUCUAUGCCCCUGGCAAUGCCCUGCUUGAGAUAAAAGACAAUAGUCAGGCACCUAGCUGACAGAGAGAUAAAGCCCUUGCAUUUUGCUGAUCAUUAUAUUUCCCCCAAAGGUAAACAGGGCUUCAUAUAAGUCACGUUGAAGCCAGCUGUAAGCGUCAUAUAUAAUGCUUUCACCUAAUCGCUGUGUCACCCCAUCUCUUCAUCGGGGACAGCAUGCACUAAUGCCACUGUGCCAAUUUCCAGGGCAUCCUCUGCCAUUGUUGUCAGUAAAGCCAAAGAUGCCACUCCACCCCCACUUCUGUGCUUCCCCCAGAAGUUGAAAGCUCUCUUUUUCUCAUUGUAGGAGAAAAGAGACUGAGGACUAUUAUUAGAUCAGUCUUUGCCUAGGACUUAAGCAAGGCAUAUGAGGGGGCUCACUGUGGGAUAGGGAGAACUAGGUCAGCUAACUGGGGAAAGUGUCAUUGCUUUCUAUGAAGAUGUAGAGUUAAGGUGUUGUCUGAGCAGACAUUCUUAAGUGUGGUUGCAGAGAGAGAACUUGAAAAGAUGUAUGUGCUGGAGUAGGCUAUGGAAGUGAGAUUGAUGGUUGCCAUCUGAUUCUUGCAUGCCACUUAUCAGACUUAAGUCACUAAAGCAUUGUUUGACUGGAUCCGCAUCCUCCACAUCACACCCAGCUGCACACCUUCUCCCCAAUCUCCAACCAAGCCUCUGGAAAGAGAAUGUGCAUCUAUGUCCUCACAGCUUCCAGCAUUACUUCAAGCGUUGCAUUUGUAAAUAUUAGGGCUGCCCUUUCCUUCUGGCAUCCAUCUUCCUCCUUCUUUUGCUUCUGCAACUUUGCUGUCCAAAAUACACAACUCCACCACUCUGCUUGUUGUUUUAAAGGUUUCCCUUUAAAUACCACAUCCUCAAUUACGCUCCUGAAUGCUCCUCUCACCUGUGUCUCCCAAUUGGAUACCAAACCUGGAGGCACCCUCUUAAUUGGCUGACUUCCAGAGAAUUCAACUGGGAGGGCCUCUCCACCCAGGGUCAAGUUGCCAACCCAGGUAUGGUCCUGACACACUGUUACUAAGUGCUUAAGAUUCCAUGCAAAGUUCUUGGCUAAUCUUAUAAAAGAAAGCUUGCAUUUAUAAGGCGCUUCACAGUGAAUGAGUUAUAUUUGAAGUACAGUCAUAUAAGAAAUAGGAGUAGGCCAUUCAACUCUUUUACCUCACUUUACCAUUCAAUAAGAUCAUGGCUGAUCACCUGCCUCAAUUCCAUUUUCCCGCAUUAUCCCCAAAUCCCUUAAUCGUAUCCUAAAUCUAUCAAUCUUUUUUUGAACAUACUCAAUGACUGAACACUGAGCAUCCACAGCUCUCUGGAGUAGAUGAUUUCUAAGAUUCCUUUGAGUGAAGAACUUUGUCUUCAUCUCAGACCUAGAUGGCCAACCCCUUUAUUCUGAGACUGACUCUUAAUUCUAAACUCUCCAGCAAAGGAAAACGUUGUCCAAACAUCUACCCUGGCCAGAAAUUAAUCUAAUGAGCCUUCCUGGACUCCUAGGGCAAGUGUUUUCUUUCCUUAGGUAAGGAGGCCAAACCUGUACAUAGUACUCCAGGUGUGGACUUGCCAAAGGCUUAUAUAAGUAUAGUAAGAAAGGCAAAUUUACCAUUUUCCUGUUUUCUUACUUUACCUGCAUGUUAACUUUCCAUGAUGUGUGUAUAAGGAUAUCUAGGUGCCUUUGAAUGCCAUCCCUGUGGAUAGAAUAUUUAUUCGUUCGAGUUCCCAAGCUGAAAAUGGUCCAAAUACUCCACCAAAGACCAAGACAGUUAAGGUUCUACUCAAGAGGUCUACAUAAUGGGCUGUCCAUAAUAGCCAAUCCGGAACACUGUUGGUAAAGGCUAAUGAACUAAUUGGCUGCCUGGAAUUGGGUGCAGCAAAAAGGCAUAAUUAAAAAUAGUGCUGUGCAUUGCUUCAUGCAUUGCUAGCAAAUAAACAGCAACAGAUGCUAUACCGCACUCUCGAGGGAAAUUGUCUAUAAUAACGUUGUAAUGCAGAUCGAUAAUAGAUAUAUUAUGUGGACUUAACUUCAGCACACACAACUGAUGAAUUAGCAAGAUUGCUACAACACCUGGUCCAUAUUUGAAUAGGUCCCGUAAGCUAUAUAUCUGUAUGCCCUUGGGCUGAAACGAAACAGCUGAAAAAUAUUGGAAUUUUUCUUGUAUUCGUGUUUUUUCAUAUCCAAACAUAUGGAUGACUAGAUUUUAAGUUUUAAUGUGGAUCAUUGUUUCUGUCACAGUAUCACACUGCAGUUUGAUGCUAGUUGCUACUAUAGGCCAUUGCUAGGAAUAUGACCUGGACUUAUACUGAUGGGUCAUUUUUGUUUCCAAGUAUUAAUCUCGGAUCAUGCAGCAGUGAAAAACAUGAAUAUAAUAUGUGUACAUAGUCUAAAAAUGUUAUGUAUUAAAUGUAUUCAAAACAAUUUUGAAUAAUCAUCCAAACUGUCAUUUGGGGUAACUUGCUAGAUCUUUGGUAAAAUUUGCCAAAACCAUUGAGAAAGUUUGAACUACCAAUUGUGUAAAGUCGUUCACUGCCCCUGUGCCCCCAGCUUAAAAGGAGCACAAAUUGGAGAGCCUUCAAUGCAAUGCCCUUGUGCUAUCUUACUUCUGCUUUCUUUAAGUGUUGGCCCCCUGCUGGGAGCACAGAAUUGAGGAACUUUCCCACUCAGCUUUGCUGUCCCUCAGACAGACCGGUAAAUGGAGUACUGCAGUGAUGGCUUCUGCUGGGAACAAACUCCAGUGGGACUAGUCUUUCUGGGGAGUAGAAUGGAUGGAGUUUGUGGAAAUUUCACCAACCCUUUCUGCUGAAGUAGGUGUUGCCACAACAGGUAACACUAGUGAGAAUCAAUUGGAAGGACAAAUGGGGUUAAGUGACUAUUUAAAUCUGGGGUUCAAAUAACUAACUUAUUCCUAACCAUGGCUUCCUGGUUUGUACUCCUCUUUACAGCUAGAUAUGGCUACUUCAGUAGACUUGAGUAAAAUGUGUAAUUUUGGUUGGUUAAUUUAAUAUUAAAAUGUUAAAACAUGAGUUCAGAUGUGAAAUAUUUUGUCAAUAUUAUAAUAUAAACUAACAGUUUGCACAAUAAAAGUCCAUUUCAAAAA